rnacentral:rRNA from 1 species
UGGGGAAUAUUGCACAAUGGGCGAAAGCCUAAUGCAGCAACGCCGCGUGAGUGAUGAAGGUCUUCGGAUUGUAAAGCUCUGUCUUUUGGGACGAUAAUGACGGUACCAAAGGAGGAAGCCACGGCUAACUACGUGCCAGCAGCCGCGGUAAUACGUAGGUGGCGAGCGUUGUCCGGAUUUACUGGGCGUAAAGGGUGCGUAGGCGGAUGUUUAAGUGAGAUGUGAAAUACCCGGGCUUAACUUGGGUGCUGCAUUUCAAACUGGAUAUCUAGAGUGCAGGAGAGGAGAAUGGAAUUCCUAGUGUAGCGGUGAAAUGCGUAGAGAUUAGGAAGAACACCAGUGGCGAAGGCGAUUCUCUGGACUGUAACUGACGCUGAGGCACGAAAGCGUGGGUAGCAAACAGGAUUAGAUACCCUGGUAGUCCACGCCGUAAAACGAUGAGUACUAGGUGUAGGAGGUAUCGACCCCUUCUGUGCCGCAGU